UACAGAGGAGCCAAGCGUUGUCCGGAUUGACUGGGCGUAAAGCGCACGCAGGCGGCCGCGCGCGUGGGGUGUGAAAUCUGGCCGCUUAACGGCCAGGCGCCAUCCCAUACGGCGCGGCUGGAGCCAUGCAGAGGGCGGUGGAAUUGCCGGUGUAGUGGUGAAAUGCGUAGAUAUCGGGAGGAACACCAGUGGCGAAGGCGACUACCUGGCCUGUUCUUGACGCUGAGGCGCGAAAGCUAGGGGAGCAAACGGG
rnacentral:rRNA from 1 species